rnacentral:lncRNA from 1 species
UUGGGGUAUAAGGAAUGCUGAUGCUGAUACUUCCACCAGUCAAGUGGAUUUUUUUCUUUAUCUUGUGUGUUCAGUGUAGUUUCUCAUCGCAGCCUGUUUUGUGCUGGAACUCACUCUUCAGGCAAGCUAGUACUGCAUGUUUGGAGUUUCACAGUUGCAGAGACAAGUAGAAGCAUAAUCCUGUUUCAGGUAACUUUCCUCAGCAGAGAUGAAUCCCCAAGAGGCUGGCAAAGGAGAACUGCAGGUGUCUUGCCCCAGGAAAGCCUUCUGCUUUGGAAGUGUAACUACAGGAAAGCACAAGCCUUCUAGCUUCACAGAUGUCUGCCUGGCACACAGGAAGCUCCUACACUGGACUCCCCACACUGCUGCGGGUCCUUUUCCAUCCUGUGACACCCAGUCAGGCUCCAGUUUUCGUGACUCUCCUGAAGGGCAGCGAUGCUUUAGCUCUCUGCUCAUGGAAGCCCUAAGACCCUGGAGGGAAGCUUGUCAGACUGAAAAGCAGCGUCUGCCAUGCUUCAUGUACCUCUUGCCCAUGGCAGCAUCCGCUUCGUGAUGUCAUCAGGGCUCCAGGCCUUUUUGCUCUGUCUUCCCCAGUCAUCUGACUGCUUCUUUCCCAGGAGAACGUCCUUUGUUUAAGGGAUCCAUGGCUGGUAGCUGCUGGGACUAUCGGCUUCCUUAAACAGAGCCAGAGGAGCAGAAUGUUUGUUCUUACAUUUGAAAACAAAUCUCACUGGUAUCGUUGACUCGUAUCAACAGCAUAAAUUAAUAGAACUCCAUCCGAGUGGUACUCCCACACACGCGGGCAGUGUGCACAGAUGCUGUUCUCUCUUUUAUUCUUGCUUCUUCCCAUGCCCUCUCUGUGGCUCUCCCACUUCCCAGGCCCUAGUCACUGCGCUUGCCCUUCUACUUUCCAGUUGAAGGAACCGGCUUCCCUUUUGGCAGCCAUAAUGGUCGAACAUGUGCUUCUAUGACCUUGUCCUAGAAACCAGAAAGUCAGAUGCCUGUCUCGUGACAAGGAACCUUAGUCACUUAGAGGUCAGAUGCCUGUCUUGUGACAAGGAACCAAUCAGAAGUUAGCUGGUGGCGCUAUGCUUUACGACCCUGGGUGUGCUUUACGGACAAGUGCACAACAAUGAUGUAGAGAGCAUAGCAACCACCCUGGGAGGGCCUAUGGGCCAUAACAACCAGUUGACCAAUCAACACAGGGCAAGCCCUCCAAGCCUGGAAGCACACCAAUCAUGAGCCUGUGCGUAAGCCUAUGCGUACCCCUAGACACUCCCCUUACGCUGCCCUAUAAGAUCUUUUGGGAGCCCGUAGGAGCCGUCUUUUCUAGCCGUCCGCCAUGGCAGGUGGGUGAAAGACCCGAGCUAACAUAGGGUUAGCUCGUUAAAUUACAAUAAAGCCUCGUGCAGUUUGCA